rnacentral:rRNA from 1 species
GAUGAACGCUGGCGGCGUGCCUAAUACAUGCAAGUCGAACGAAAGGACGUUAAGAUUGCGUGUUUGCUGUUAGCGGCAGAGGGGUGAGUGACGCGUGGAUAACCUACCUGUAAGACAGGUAUCACAAAGGGAAAGCGGAGCUAAUACCGGAUGAUCUAUUGCCGCAUAACGAUAGUUAGUGAAUGGCGGCCUUGCUGUCAGUUAUAGAUGGAUCCGCGCUGGAUUAGCUAGUUGGUAAGGUAACGGCUUAUCAAGGCAAGGAUGCGUAGCCGACUUGAGAGGUUGAUCGGCCACAUUGGAACUGAGACACGGUCCAGACUCCUACGGGAGGCAGCAGUAGGGAAUCUUCCGCAAAGGGCGAAAGCCUGACGGAGCAACGCCGCGUGAGUGAUGAAGGUCUUCGGAUCGUAAAACCCUGUUAUUAGUGAAGAACAUAUGUGUAAGUAACUGUGCACAUCUUGACGGUACCUAAUCAGAAAGCCACGGCUAACUACGUG